UCUGAACCGCUUUCUUAGCA
rnacentral:snRNA from 1 species